rnacentral:rRNA from 1 species
UACGGAGGGUGCGAGCGUUGUCCGGAAUCACUGGGCGUAAAGGGCGCGUAGGCGGUGCGAGAAGCGUGUGGUGAAAGGCCGGGGCUCAACCCCGGCUCGGCCGUGCGGACUCUCGCGCUUGGUGAGUGCUGUAGAGGCGGGCGGAAUUCCGGGUGUAGCGGUGGAAUGCGUAGAGAUCCGGAAGAACACCGGUGGCGAAGGCGGCCUGCUGGGCUAUGGCUGACACUGAGGCGCGACAGCGUGGGGGAGCAAACAGGAUUAGAAAACCCUAG